AAGAUCAUACUUCACAGGAUCAUUUCUGUAGUAUAUCUUCACACAUUCUCAACUCACAUUGAGAGUGGUCGUAACCUCGACGAUGAGUCGUAGUUUCGUGUCUUGAGCGUGAGGCAAGCUCAAGGAAUUCCUCGUGAAAUCCUUGUGGCUAUCGAUGAUCGUUCAGCUGAAUUUGUUCAGUUACGGACACGAAACAAUCUGAGGAGU